rnacentral:sRNA from 1 species
UUUUAGCCCUGAUGGAAGCGGAAAUCCUUUUUAUUCGCCUUUUGGCGGAAAAAAGAUUGAAGCGGACAGCAGGAAAUAGC